rnacentral:rRNA from 1 species
CCUACGGGAGGCAGCAGUAGGGAAUCUUGCACAAUGGGCGAAAGCCUGAUGGAGCAACGCCGCGUGGGGGAAGAAGGUCUUCGGAUCGUAAAACCCUGUUGUUAGAGAAGAAAGUGCGUGAGAGUAACUGUUCACGUUUCGACGGUAUCUAACCAGAAAGCCACGGCUAACUACGGGCCAGCAGCCGCGGUAAUACGUAGGGGGCAAGCGUGAUCCGGUUUUAUUGGGCGUAAAGGGAGCGCAGGCGGUCUUGUAAGUCUGAUGUGAAAGCCUUCGGCUUAACCGGAGUAGUGCAUUGGAAACUGGGUGACUUGAGUGCAGAAGAGGGGAGUGGAACUCCAUGUGUAGCGGUGAAAUGCGUAGAUAUAUGGAAGAACACCAGUGGCGAAGGCGGCUCUCUGGUCUUUUACUGACGCUGAGGUUCGAAAGCGCGGGUAGCAAACAGGAUUAGAUACCCUUGUAGUC